UACGGGGGGGGCAAGCGUUGUUCGGAAUUACUGGGCGUAAAGGGUUCGUAGGUGGCUCGCUAAGUCAGACGUGAAAUCCCUCAGCUUAACUGGGGAACUGCGUCUGAGACUGGCAAGCUUGAGUGCAGGAGAGGAACGCGGAAUUCCAGGUGUAGCGGUGAAAUGCGUAGAUAUCAAGAGGAACACCUGAGGCGAAGGCGGGUUGCUAGGCUGACACUGACGCUGAGUGCGCGAAAGCCAGGGGAGCAAACGGG
rnacentral:rRNA from 1 species